CUUUGCUGUCCUCACUCAGGGUGCCCAGGAGCUCUGGCAGGAGCUGGAGCAGGGAGGAGCUGCCCAACCUCUCCAGGUUUAACCUCGAGUCUUCAUCAGCUGCCAAGGCAAGAAACAGGCACAGGGUGACCCUAUGGAGUUCCAGUUGCUCUGACCUGCAGGGAUGGAUGUGACUGUAGCUCCUCACAUGGACAUGUAAGAAAACAAACUGAAAUAAUAUCCCAACAUUUCAAAACUUGCAUAAAGAUCAGGAAUUUGAAGACCUUGGAUGUGCCUGUUAUUGGUUUAUUCACUGCAUAAAAGGACAUUUGCAAAGGACAGAGAGGAUUUCAUUAUAGGACUCAAAAUAAGAAUACAAAAAAUUCCCAGUGCUGAGUGGAGACAAUCUGCAUCUCUGGCCAAGGAUUAUUCCUUAAAUCAGAGCACUGCUAGCAGGACUCUUUACAUUAGCAGGGAAGAUCUGAGCACAGUGACUUGAACCUAAUGCAAUCAUGGCUAGAGCCAGCUAUGAUGUGACAGAUAUUACUCAGAUAUUGAGUCAGGGGUACCUGGAAAUGCAAAUUACAUUGUGGAAGGCUUGAGGAGAUGCUGGCUUAGAGAGCCCAAGAUUUUCAGAGCAGACUGGGGACUGCUGAUACCUCUAAACCAGCAGAACAACUGCUGCA